rnacentral:rRNA from 1 species
AUUGAACGCUGGCGGCAGGCUUAACACAUGCAAGUCGAGCGGGGUGAUGGUGCUUGCACUAUCACUUAGCGGCGGACGGGUGAGUAAUGCUUAGGAAUCUGCCUAUUAGUGGGGGACAACAUCUCGAAAGGGAUGCUAAUACCGCAUACGUCCUACGGGAGAAAGCAGGGGAUCACUUGUGACCUUGCGCUAAUAGAUGAGCCUAAGUCGGAUUAGCUAGUUGGUGGGGUAAAGGCCUACCAAGGCGACGAUCUGUAGCGGGUCUGAGAGGAUGAUCCGCCACACUGGACUGAGACACGGCCCAGACUCCUACGGGAGGCAGCAGUGGGGAAUAUUGGACAAUGGGGGGAACCCUGAUCCAGCCAUGCCGCGUGUGUGAAGAAGGCCUUAUGGUUGUAAAGCACUUUAAGCGAGGAGGAGGAUCUUUUGGUUAAUACCCAAGAUGAGUGAACGUUACUCGCAGAAUGAGCACCGGCUAACUCUGUGCCAGCCGCCGCGGUAA